rnacentral:rRNA from 1 species
AUUAAUGUCGCUAUCAGAGAAGCUUACGUAAGAUUAGGUAGUUGGUGAGGUAAAAGCUACACCAAGCCGAAGAUCUUUAGCUGGUUUGAAAGAAUGUCCAGCCACACUGGGACUGAGACACGGCCCAGACUUUUUCGAAAGGCAGCAGUCAGGAAUCUUGGACAAUGGGCGAAAGCCUGAUCCAGCCAUAUUACGUGAAGGAAGAAGAACAAAAUGGUUGUAAACUUCUGAAUCCGUAAUUAAAUUAUGGAUUGAAAAAGCCCCGGCAAAAUCUGUGCCAGCAGCCGCGGUAAUACAGAUGGGGCUAGUGUUAUUCGGAAUGAUUAGGCGUAAAGGGUACGUAGGCGGUUUGAACUGGUAAGUCGUCAAAAGCUUUUAAAAAAGAUUCACGACUUUGUUUAUUUUCUAAUUUUUUGAAUAACCUUACCAUCAAACUUGAGUUUUAUAGAAGAAAGCGGAAUUUUGAGUGGAGAGAUAGAAUUCGUAGAUAUUCAAAGGAACACCGAAAACGAAGGUAGCUUUCUAGGUAAAAACUGACGCUCAUGUACGAAAGCGUGGGGAGUGAAUGGGAUUAGAUACCCCAGUAAUCCACGCCGUCAACGAUGAGUGUUCACUCCAUGCAAAAAGAUUCUUCUUUGUUUGACUUUGAAAAAGAUGUCUAUGGACUUCAAAGAAGAUCUCUCUCUUAAAUACUCCUUCUAAGAUUAGAUCGAGUUUUGGAGGGAGGAAGAAUCUUGUUUCUAGCACUGUGGGGUUAAAGCUAACGCAUUAAACACUCCGCCUGAGGAGUACGGUCGCAAGGCUGAAACUCAAAGGAAUUGCCGGAGGCUCGAACAAGCGGUGGAUCAUGUGGUUUAAUUCGAAACAACGCGCAAAACCUUACCAGUUCUUGUAUACAAAUAUUGAAUCUUUCUUUAUCGAAACGAAUUCUAGGUUUGAACAGGUGCUGCAUGGCUGUCGUCAGCUCGUGUCGUGAGAUGUAAGGUUAAAUCCUUCAACGAGCGAAACCCAAUUUUUUAUUUUGAUAAAAAAACUGCCAAUGAUAAAUUGGAGGAAGGUUGGAUGAUGUCAAGUCCUCAUGGCCCUUAUGAACUGGGCUACACACGUGAUACAAUGGCAAUCACAAACGGAUGCAAUGAUGCAAGUCGGAGCGAGUCCUUAAAAGUUGUCUUGUUCGGAUUGUUCUCUGCAACUCGAGAACAUUAAGAUGGAAUCGCUAGUAAUCGUGAAUCAGCACGUCACGGUGAAUUUGUCAACGAGCCUUGGACACCUUGCCCGUCACAUUGCGGAAAUGGUUUUGGCUUGAAAAAUCUUUUGAUAUCUAUUAGUAUUCUUUUCAUUUAUAUAUGUAUAUAUAAAU